rnacentral:rRNA from 1 species
GCAUAUCAAUAAGCGGAGGAAAAGAAACCAACAGGGAUUGCCCUAGUAACGGCGAGUGAAGCGGCAACAGCUCAAAUUUGAAAUCUGGCUUCGGCCCGAGUUGUAAUUUGCAGAGGAAGCUUUAGGCGCGGCACCUUCUGAGUCCCCUGGAACGGGGCGCCAUAGAGGGUGAGAGCCCCGUAUAGUUGGAUGCCUAGCCUGUGUAAAGCUCCUUCGACGAGUCGAGUAGUUUGGGAAUGCUGCUCAAAAUGGGAGGUAAAUUUCUUCUAAAGCUAAAUACCGGCCAGAGACCGAUAGCGCACAAGUAGAGUGAUCGAAAGAUGAAAAGCACUUUGAAAAGAGGGUUAAAUAGCACGUGAAAUUGUUGAAAGGGAAGCGCUUGUGACCAGACUUGCGCCGGGCUGAUCAUCCGGUGUUCUCACCGGUGCACUCUGCCCGGCUCAGGCCAGCAUCGGUUCUCGCGGGGGGAUAAAGGCCCGGGGAAUGUAGCUCCUCCGGGAGUGUUAUAGCCCCGGGUGUAAUACCCUCGCGGGGACCGAGGUUCGCGCAUCUGCAAGGAUGCUGGCGUAAUGGUCAUCAGCGACCCGUCUUGAAACACGGACCAAGGAGUCAAGGUUUUGCGCGAGUGUUUGGGUGUAAAACCCGCACGCGUAAUGAAAGUGAACGUAGGUGAGAGCUUCGGCGCAUCAUCGACCGAUCCUGAUGUUUUCGGAUGGAUUUGAGUAGGAGCGUUAAGCCUUGGACCCGAAAGAUGGUGAACUAUGCUUGGAUAGGGUGAAGCCAGAGGAAACUCUGGUGGAGGCUCGCAGCGGUUCUGACGUGCAAAUCGAUCGUCAAAUCUGAGCAUGGGGGCGAAAGACUAAUCGAACCAUCUAGUAGCUGGUUACCGCCGA